rnacentral:lncRNA from 1 species
CUUGACCAAAACCCUCGGCUUUCCAGUGCCAUAACCCAUUCAUCUAACCCUUCACCAUCCAUUUCUUCUAAAUUCGUCGGACAUGCAUCCAAUGGAUCUUUCACAGUCAGGGGCCUAUCAUCUUCUUGCAGGAUUACAUCCACUGCCUCCACUAGAGAGCAAUUAGCAUAUUCACUAGGCCUCUUUAUUGAUUGACUGAACAUUGAAUAUGACUUCUUCUUCGUUCAAUCUCAUUUUUAGUUCCCUAGUCUCAC